AUCCCUGCCCCCAGUUCUGACAUUAAACUACAUGAGCCGGCACUUGUUUUCGCAUGUAGGCCUAUCUAUCAAUAACAUGUUCGAACAUUCAGCCAAUCAAAUUUGCAUAUCAGAUAUUUCAAAUGUAUCAACAUGUAAAACGUCACUCUCCUGCGCGACUCUGCUCUGACAUGACCGGAGAAUGUCAAGAGUAGUCUAGUGUAGGCUAAAACAAAAAAUUGAUACAUGUCUUAAAGUUAACAACAAAGUUACCAGGUCAGAUAUGUCUUCUUCUGAAGAACCAAAGAGGAAAUAUUUACGGGCGUACGACCCGGUAUGUCUGAAAUAUGGAUUUACGUAUUUCGUGAAGAAUGGUGAGCAAAAGCCGUUGUGUGUGCUAUGCAACGAAAUACUAGCUGAUGAAAACCUGAAGCCCUCGAAAGUGCAAAGACAUUACGCAAAAAAAAAAAACGCCAACUUUAAAGAUAAAGACUUGGAUUUUUUUCAACGUAUGCGCCAAAACUUCGAGGCAUCCCAAAAGACAUUUGAACGUGACAUCACUGUUCAGGAGCAGGAUCCUAUCUGGUGUCCUACCGCCGUUAAAAACCAAAAGGCCCAUACGGUUGCAGAAGAGUUCAGAGCUACCAACUCUCACGGUUUCACCGUGUGACACACGCUGUUGCAUGUUUUCACACGCACUCACGCCACACAUCCAGUUUCUCACGCAAAAAAAAAAAAUCUGAUUUUGGGCCGAGAUGCGUUCGUUCCUUUUCAAACUCCCCGGCGGUAAAUGACGCUAAGGAGCGCAUCUGUAACCCUAUUCGCUGCAUUACCCCAAAGAGUCCCGAAGUUACCGACAGAAGAAGAGUUACAAAGACAGAAACUCGGGAAGAGAAUCCAUCGCUGAAGAAAAUCUUCAUCUCCAAUCUGAGCAACGACUAGGCCAAAGAAAACGACUCACUCUGAAGACUUUUCCAAACAGCACUUUGAACAGGUGGCAGGAACCAAAGAAGUUGAGAGGCUUGCUGCCGUCGCCAAGCUGGUCCUGGUGUUGCCACAUUCAAAUGCUGAUGCUGAGAGGGUGUUUUCAGUUGUGGGACUGAACAAAACUAAGACCAGAAAUAGCCUGGCAUUGGAUGGCACCCUGUCCUCAAUAAUGGCCAUAAAGAUGGCCGACCUGGAGCCCUGUUUGAGAUGGGAGCCCCCCUCAUAGGUCAUCAAGGCCUCCAAGAAGGCCACAGGCCAGUACAACCUUGCCCACAGAUCUUAGAAAAUGACUAACCAGCUUCUGAUCUGCAUCUGAUACCUCAUUUUUUGUUAUUUUUGUCAUGUGUUGAUCCAUUGUAUUGCUUAAAAAGGCUACUGUUUAAGCACUUUAAGCACUUUUUUUGUUUGAUGGAACGUGUGGUUGGAGGCUUUGAAUAAUGAAAAAUAUUUCACCCUAACUAAUCUUGUGUCAUUUUUUGCUGAACAUAAAUCAUUAAGUGCUCUUAAGAAUACAAUUAUUAACAAUAUAGGUAAGGUUUCAGUUAAGAAUUAGUUAAAUACCAUUGUAAUCAAAAUGUCAAUCAACCUACCUUGGUCAAAUCUUAAACACAGGUCUAUUAAUUAGGCUAUAUUGUGGUACAUAGACAGUCAUUUGGGCACAACAAUAGUUUUCUGGUUGAAUGUUCAGCUCAAGUCUAGAAGGCCCUACCAGUCAUGAUCAGAUGAACAUGAAUCAGAAUAAGUUCAGGUAUUGCACAUCUUCAGCAUACCACCCAAAAAUCCACUAGAAUGCAGGAAAUAACUAGCCUGACGAUGUCAUACUCAUAAUUCUAGUCAGAAUAUGAGUCUGAUACCGCUCCAUUAGGCUGUGAUUAUGGGGCGUGUUUCAACCGAAUUUCAACUCUUCGCUCAAUUGGAUAUACAUAGAACCAAUCAGAGCAACGUAGUAUGACCAUAACGUAGACCAUGGGGCCAGCUGAUAUAUUAAACUUUUACCGGAUCCCGUAGGAAGGACGGCAAAAACAUCUUUUCGAUCGACAAAUGCCUUGAUCGCGUUUCUCUGUUCCUCUUUCAAAAUGAAUGUGCUGUCAAUGUCUUCUAAAACAGACUCGAAUCACCACAUUUCAGCUCUCCACCGGCAGCCAUGUUUGUUGAAAACAAAUUCAACCCCUGACAAAAUCUCACUCCAAGGUUUUUUGAAAAGUUGGCAGCUCUGAGAGUUUAUGUUUUCAAUGGUAAAACAGUGAUAUAGUAUUAAGCCUAGUAUUAGUAAUACUAAUAAUAAUAAUAAUACAAUUGUUUAAUUAAUGGCCUGAUGAUUCAUGCUGAUUAUUAAUUAUUGGGUUGCGACUGCACUGCGCUGG
ensembl:lncRNA